CUGAACCACAAUUCUCUACUCUCCCAAAAGCAGAAAAUGAACAUAAUUCAGGCAUCAGUGUCAUUCAAGGAUGUGACUGUGGAAUUCACCCAGGAAGAGUGGCAUCAGAUGGACUCUGCUCAGAGGACCCUGUACAGAGAUGUAAUGCUGGAGAACUACAGCCACCUCGUCUCAGUGGGGUACUGCUUUACAAAGCCAGAACUGAUCUUCAUGUUGGAACAAGGAGAAGAUCCAUGGUUAUUAGAGAAAGAAUUUAUAAACAGAAGUUCCCCAGAAGAAUCCCAACCAGAUGAACUCUUAGAGGAGAGCCUAGAAAACCAAGGCAAACGUUUGAGGCAAGUUUUAUUCAUCAACAAAUCAUUGACUGUGGAGCAAGAAAUAUCAGGAAAACCAUGUACUCUGGACAUAAACAUUUUUCCUGCAGAAACAAUGCCCUGUAAAUUUGACACUACAGGGUCUACUUACUUGCUUCUUAGCUCACUGGCCCCACACUGUCAAUAUUCAAAAAAGAAGACUUGUGCGCCUAAUGUAUGUGAGAACUGGCUCUUCAGUAUUAAGGAUGGCAGAACUAAUACUGGAGAGAAUUCUUUUGUUUAUAGUAAAAAUGUGAAAACCUUUGGACAUAAAGUUAUCCAGCAUCCGACAAUUCAGACUUUGCCACAAGCCUGUGAAUGUAAUGAAAGUAGAAAAGAUUUUCUUGAAAAGACUGCCCUUGUUAUGUCUAAGAGUACCCACCCCAAAAUGAAACCUUAUAAAUUCAAUAAAUUUGGGGAAAACCAACAUGAGAAAUCAACCUUGAUAGUUUCUCAGAGCAGUCAUCCAGAGAAGAGUCACUAUGAGUUUAAUAAAUAUGAAUGUACUAAAAAUGGAAAUAAUUUUAGUAGGAUCACUCAAAAAACUGACAUAGAAGGGAAAUCUUUCAGCCACAAAUUACACAUUAAAGAACAGGAAAAAUUUUGUAUAGGGGUGAAAUCCUUUGAAUAUGGAAAGAAUUUCAGCCAUAAUUCAGCCCUCCCAGUGCAUCAGAGAAUUCACACAAGAGAACAAUCCUCUGACUAUAGCACAUGUACAGAAACAUUGGGUUACCAGUCAACUUGCAAUAUGCAUGAGAAAACUCAAAUAAUAUUGAAACCCUAUGAGUGUAAUGAAUGUGGAAAGUCCUGUGCUAAAACUUCAUGCCUGAUUCAGCCUCAGAAAAGUCACAUGGAGGAGAAACCCUUUGAAUGUCAUCAAUGUGGGAAAGCUUUCAGUGAGAAGUCACGUCUAAGAAAACAUGAGAGAACUCACACAGGAGAGAAACCCUAUAAAUGUGACGGAUGUGAGAAAGCUUUCAGUGCAAAGUCAGGACUAAGAAUACAUCAGAGAACUCACACAGGAGAGAAACCUUAUGAAUGUAAUGAAUGUGGGAAAUCUUUCAACUAUAAAUCAAUCCUCAUAGUACAUCAAAGAACUCACACAGGGGAGAGACCCUUUGAAUGUAAUGAAUGUGGAAAAUCUUUCAGCCAUAUGUCAGGCUUAAGAAAUCACCGGAGAACUCACACAGGUGAAAGACCAUAUAAAUGUGAUGAAUGUGGGAAGGCUUUCAAACUGAAGUCAGGCCUAAGGAAACAUCAUAGAACUCAUACAGGGGAGAAGCCCUAUAAAUGUAAUCAAUGUGAGAAAGCAUUUGGUCAGAAAUCACAACUCAGAGGACAUCAUAGAAUUCACACAGGGGAAAAACCCUAUACAUGUAAUUAUUGUGGGGAAUCAUUUAGCCAGAAGUCAAACCUUAGAGUACAUCACCGAACUCACACUGGGGAAAAACCCUAUACAUGUGAUGAGUGUGGAAAAACUUUCAGGCAGAAAUCAAAUCUUAGAGGACAUCAGAGAACUCACACUGGGGAGAAACCCUAUGAAUGUAACGAAUGUGCCAAAUCUUUCAGUGAGAAGUCAGUCCUAAGAAAACAUCAGAGAACUCAUACAGGAGAGAAACCCUAUAACUGUAAUCACUGUGGUGAAGCUUUCAGCCAGAAAUCAAACCUCAGAGUACAUCAGAGAACUCACACUGGAGAGAAACCCUACAAAUGUGAUAAAUGUGGAAAAACUUUCAGUCAAAAAUCAAGCCUUAGAGAACAUCAGAAAGCCCAUACAGAGAAAUAA
rnacentral:lncRNA from 1 species